rnacentral:lncRNA from 1 species
AGAGUGGACACCUGCGCUGGCUCUCACACACACUCAUCACAUACGCACUCACACAUACACUCACACACUCACACACACACUCACACACACUCAUGACACACACGCACUCACACUCAUCACACACGCUCAUCACACACGUACACCCACACGUAGUGCAUGCACAGGCAUAUAGACAUGCACACACAUACAUGCACACACACGUAUGCACACCACGUACAGAGUGGACACUUGCACCGGCCCACACACACACUCAUCACCCACACUCACACACACACAUGCACACACACAUACACUCACACUCACACACACGCACUCCCACACACACACACACUCUCACCCUCCCCUGCUUUCCCUCC